rnacentral:tRNA from 1 species
AAUGAAGUGCCUGAAAAAAAGGAUUAUUUUGAUAGAAUAAAUUAUGUAGAAAUACCUUCAUUA